rnacentral:rRNA from 1 species
GGUUAAGUUAGAAAGGGCGCACGGUGGAUGCCUUGACACUAGGAGUCGAUGAAGGACGGGACUAACGCCGAUAUGCUUCGGGGAGCUGUAAGUAAGCUUUGAUCCGAAGAUUUCCGAAUGGGGAAACCCACUAUACGUAAUGGUAUGGUAUCCUUACCUGAAUACAUAGGGUAUGGAAGACAGACCCAGGGAACUGAAACAUCUAAGUACCUGGAGGAAGAGAAAGCAAAUGCGAUUUCCUGAGUAGCGGCGAGCGAAACGGAACAUAGCCCAAACCAAGAGGCUUGCCUCUUGGGGUUGUAGGACAUUCUAUACGGAGUUACAAAGGAACGAGGUAGACGAAGCGACCUGGAAAGGUCCGUCGUAGAGGGUAACAACCCCGUAGUCGAAACUUCGUUCUCUCUUGAAUGUAUCCUGAGUACGGCGGAACACGUGAAAUUCCGUCGGAAUCUGGGAGGACCAUCUCCCAAGGCUAAAUACUCCCUAGUGAUCGAUAGUGAACCAGUACCGUGAGGGAAAGGUGAAAAGCACCCCGGAAGGGGAGUGAAAGAGAUCCUGAAACCGUGUGCCUACAAAUAG